GAUGAUGAGACGUCGAUUAUUGGUUCACCUGAAGAGUUGUUUUUGAAUCACGGUUGCCUUCAUUUGGACGAGUGUGGAAUCACGGUCCUCGUUCACACUCAAAAUUCGAGUUCGUAAGUGAGAGCAGAAUAGGAAAACGUGGCAAGCAUGAGGACAGAAAUGAGACGAUGCAACACG